AUGGCGUCGGCGCCGGUGGAGUUCCUGGGCGCGCGGGAGGGCGGGGUCGGCGGGGACGCGCUCUACUGCGCCAUCAUCCUGUGGCUGUCCGUCAUGUCGUGGAUCAUCUUCACCUGCGUCGGCGGCGACGACGGCGGCAGGCGCCGGAGGGGCCGCCGGGACACCAAGGUCUUCGUCGGCGCCGAGCGCCUCUGCGACGGCACCGGGCCCCACUGCAGCGGCGGGUACGGCCUCUGCGGCUCCUGCGUCGACUAG
rnacentral:rRNA from 1 species